GCUCGGUUAGCUCAGCGGAAGAGCAUCUGGCCUACACCCAGAACGUCGGGGGUUCGAAUCCCUCACCGAGCA
rnacentral:tRNA from 1 species